CACGACGUCUCUCUUGAAUGGCGAGGAAUCGUCGAGCCAUCCGUUAUCUGACCUUGAGCAUGGUGAUGCAGUUCAGCCUGCAAAUGUUGGGUUCUGUAGAGUUCUAAGGCUGGCAAAGCCUGAUGCAGGGAAGCUGAUUAUUGCCACUAUAGCGUUGUUGAUUGCCUCUACAACUAAUAUUUUGAUU